rnacentral:rRNA from 1 species
UCUGACACAGGUGCUGCAUGGCUGUCGUCAGCUCGUGUCGUGAGAUGUUGGGUUAAGUCCGUAACGAGCGCAACCCUUGUCCUUAGUUACCAGCACGUUAUGGUGGGCACUCUAAGGAGACUGCCGGUGACAAACCGGAGGAAGGUGGGGAGUGACGUCAAGUCAUCAUGGCCCUUACGGCCUGGGCUACACACGUGCUACAAUGGUCGGUACAAAGGGUUGCCAAGCCGCGAGGUGGAGCUAAUCCCAUAAAACCGAUCGUAGUCCGGAUCGCAGUCUGCAACUCGACUGCGUGAAGUCGGAAUCGCUAGUAAUCGUGAAUCAGAAUGUCACGGUGAAUACGUUCCCGGGCCUU